ensembl:lncRNA
GUUUGUGUAAUGUGAGUGGAGCUGUUGGCCCCAUUCCUCACUCUUCUCUGGUCGUGUUAGACAUCCACACCCCUGCCACGGCCUCACGGUCAGGAGAGAGCUGUUCUUCAGCCCUUGACUUUGGACUUGACCAAUGGGAUGGGAGCUGACGAGACAUGAGUCUUGAAAAGUCCUUGUGUGGUUGGUCUCGUGCUCUCUUCUCCAUGACCCGCCGUGAGAGGAGCGUGCCUUGGUUAACUGCCGCCCCUUCAGCCUUCCCGAAUGAGGGAAGUGGAACAGACUGGACAGGACCUGCAGCUUGUAGCUCGCAGCAGAGCCACCCACUGAGCCCAGUCGAGAUCAGCAGAACCCCACCCAGCUCUCAGAUCCGUGAGCGUGAGAAUGAGUGAUCCCUCUUUUCAGUUUGGGGUGGUUUGUUAGGCAGCGUUCUUGUGGGAAUGGCAUAUCCAUGUUCCUCCGUGCCUUAUCAUUUGCCAAUCUCUCAUGAAGGUCUUUCUAUAUCAGCAAAUAGAGAGAGAUCUCAUUCUUUAAAAAUAUCGAUGUAGAAUGUUUGGAUGUAUCUUCAUUUAUUCAAUAUUUUGCUCUCACAAUUCUGCAGUGAAUAACCUUGCACAUAUAUCAUUUUGCGCAAGUCCAAACAUCUCUGCAGGAUAAACUCCCAGAAGGGGAAUCGCUGUGUCGAGGAUUAUCUGCAUUCGUAAUUUUGAUAGAUGUCAUCAGAUUCCACGCCACAGGAACACCCCCGCCGACAGCGCCCGCGGAUUUCCCCGCAGCCUCACAGACAAAGCGUGUUAUUAACCUGUAGGAUUUUUGCCAACCUGAUGGGGGAAAAUGGUAUUUCGGUGUAGCUUUAAUUUGCAUUUCUCUUUCUUGAGUGAGACUGAGCAUCUUUUCAAAUGCUUAAGAGUCAUUUGUGUUUUCUUUUCUAUGAACUGCCUAUUCAUUACUCUUUAACCAUUUUUCCAUUAGAUUGUCUUUUUCUUAUUGAUUUCCUCAACACAUAUUUGCUGAACAAAUGGCUGAGUGAAAUCAGGUGAAUUUAAACAAGGGGCUCUGAAUACCGUGGUUUAACCUCCCAGAGAGAGCCUGGCGGAAGCCAGGAUAGAUUUGGCACGGCUGUGGCGGUCCACCGCGUUCUUUGAUAGAGAGUCCGGGAUCUCACGUUUCGGUGCCACUCCUGACCGACGCUCCCCAGGAGGCUGAGCUAAUGAGGCCCAGGAUUUCAGCCACCGAUGACCUUCCUCCAGCGCGUCUCAUGUCCUUCUGCUCCACCUCGGCACAGCAGCUCGGCAAGCCCCAGGGUCCAUCCCUCUGGUGACAGACUAGUUUGGGCUUAUCAUCCUCAAGGGAGGAAGCAGAAGUUGGAAGGACCCUCCAAGUCCGGGCUCCUGGCAUUCUGUUGGCCAAAGCAAGACAUGGGCCAACCUGAAGAGGGAAGAAAUUGACUCCGUCUCUUGAUGGACAGAGCUGCAAAGUCACGCUGCCAUGUGAAGUCACAUUGCAAGUGCUGUCAGUACAGGGAAAGGAAGAAUUAGAGCCAUUUUUGCAACCGGUCCACCACAAUCAUCUUGUUAUACACAGAUAAUAUGAGCACCUCCUUCCUAGAGCUAUUGGGAGAAUUCAGUAAGAUCAGGCAUAUAAAGCAGUGAUUUUGAGCCAGGCUUGCAGGAGGUGCUCUGAAGGUAAUAGCCAUCAUUGCUGCCAUUGCUGUGAUCAUUAAUGUUAUUAUUAUUAUUGAUCUGAGUCCUCCUCAUCCCUGGGCAUCUGCUCAGUGCCGUUCAGAGGUUCAGAUCUCCUAGGCAGCUUUGUUUCUGCAUGCCUGAUUGCCUUUCCUCUUAAUAAAGGAGCAAGUCAGUUGACGGAAAACUUCCUUGAUUUUGGAACACAGAUGCCACUGUGUGUUAGCAUCCCUUGGCCAUUAGCUGUCAAGGCAGCCAGGGCAGAGAUCUAUUUAAAGAACACGUAGGUGCCUUUGUUUUCUUGCCAUCAAAGCUGUGCCAGGGAUGGAGACACAUCUGACAAAGGGGCAGAAGGGUCCUGAUGUGGGGCACACCUUCCUUCUGCCAUCUGCAUUUACUCAGGAAAGGGGAAAGGAUUGCCUAAGGAAGUUCGGUCUCCUCGUGUUAACUAAGGAUGCCAGCAGCUAAACGUGAAUCGUUUAUUAUAUAUUUUUAUUUCUAAAGGAGAGAGAUUGAGCCUCGAGUUAGAAAUGCCUCACAGGCUGCAAUUUUACUAAAUUCUGUGGUCCUACUCACAGUGCCUCAGCAGGCUGAUGCUCUUGCAUUGAGCUAAGGGAAAAGCCAUCAUUGAGUCUCGGCUU